UAUCCCACAUUGCUUAGCGACAAAAUAACAUAACCUUUUAUAUAGCUGAAGCGGCUGACAGUGGUUGUCCCUUCGGGGACAUCCGAUAAAAUUGGAACGAUACAGAGAAGAUUAGCAUGGCCCCUGCGCAAGGAUGACACGCACAAAUCGAGAAAUGGUCCAAAUUUUUUUUAAUUUUUUUCUUUGAAUUUUACGAUUUCUUUCUGGGUGUUUUUAGUUUCUGUUCUCUGUUUGCUUUGGUUUUUUUGUUUUUCUGGGUUUUUUUUUUGUUAAAAAAAAUCUCUGUUUUCUUUGCAUUUUCCGAUUUUUCCUGGGUUUUUUACAACUACGAUAGCUGGUAAAUGUAGUAAAUGUUAUUUUCUCUAUUUUGUUUGCAUUUUUCGAUUUUUUUUCUGGGUUUUUUACAACUUCGGUAUCUGGCAAAUGUUAAUUACUUGUAUUUGGCUAUGUCUAAAGGAGACUUUCGUUUUUUUCGAGUUUGACAGCUGAUUUCUUUAUAAAUGGGUUGUGGAAUCAUUGAUCAAAUAAUUUCCCUUGAGAAAUCACAGUUGGCCAAAUGAGAAUGAUUGGGAAAAUUUUGGGUUUAAUAUGGUGCUUGCUGAAAAGUAUUAUUUUAUGUUAUGAAUGCUGAUGUUCAAUUCUUCUUGUGUAGAAAUUGGACUUUAUUUAUUUUGUUUUUAUCUCUUUCCGUUGCCUAGCUACUUGAUUUUCUUUCUAUUCAAUAAAGCAAUGCAAUUUGAGAUUUGUGCUAUUGACCAGAAUUUCUAUGCAUCAUAUAUGCUAAAAAUUUGUAGUUUGAAGUACCAUAUAAUAUAGUGAAGGAUUAAAUUGGGUUUGGCAACCAUUGAUGAAUGAAUUUGAAUAGGACAGGUCCAUAGUGUUGCUCCAAAGCCUGGAAAUGAUGCCAGGCGAAUCACUUUUGAUAAUAACAAUUUGAAGCCAGGAAAUGAUUGUCAGUUUCUCACUUUGAAUCCAUAAAGGUUGUCCCUUCAAAGAAAAUCUUGGUGUUCGACUUCAUCGAUUUUACUCACUUGAUAUUGCAAAUUAGAAUGUUUUUCCAGGUUGGGUCUAUUUUACUCUAUUAAGUAGUAAAUUAGAUUCAAGAUGUCUUUUUUGGUGUUUUUUGAACAAGCUUCUGUCUUCUUCUUUUUUUCUAACUCUGAUAUGUGGUGUAAUUGGGUUAAGAGAUCCUUUUACAAUUUAAUUAAAAGAUUUUACGUUGCUGGUUUAUGCUUGUCGUACAAGUAAGUAUGAACCUUUAUGAAUGUUGAAUAUUAUGGCUUCAUUUAUGGAUUGAAAUUAUCAUUUUUAUCUCAUGCCUUUAUAUAUAUAGUCACAACAUAUUUGUAGUCUAUCAGUGCUAAUUGUCUGGCACAUUUAUAAGAAUUGAGGAGCGAGUUUUAAUAGGGAGGCACAAAGAUUAAAGGUCAAGGUGACAACUUGACAUGCUCCCAUAGAGGGAGUCUUUGCAACACCUGAAAGAGCAUAUUCAUAGGUCAUCUAAACUCUGAUGGUGUGGUUCAGGAAAUCAGUCGUCGUACUAAAUCUUUUAUUUCGAAGCUGCUUGGUUAGUGAUUCCUACCCCUAAGUGGAGACAUGGAAAGCACGUACAAGCAGGGUUGGCACCUUCAAAGGUUGAAGUCUUUGUGUGGCAAUGAGUUGGCUAGACAUGGGAUUUGCGUUUCGGAACGCUGUUGCUAUGUGGGAGACCCCAUGUCGUUCAUGGUUCUUGGUAUGGCCGGAUGCUUGCCUUUCGCUGCUGAGUGUAACAGAGGAGUUUGGAAUGUGAUGUUACUUGCAAUUGUUUUGGUCCAUACGGCUUUACAGGAACAACAUUAGUUUUAGUGGUGAAAUUGUGGACAGUUCUGCAAUUGUUUUAAUGACUGUUAAAAACUCAGACUUGCCUGCUGGAUUUUUAUUAUAGGCCAAAUGUGGUGAUGAAAAACAACAUUGAGUGAGCUUUGUUAUCUAUUUAGAGUUUUGACCUGGUCUGACUUUGCAUUUUA